GCUCCGAUAGCCUAGUGGUUAGAGAGUUUACCUCAGAUGCAGGAGGUCGUGGGUUCAAUCCCCUGCCGAGUCA